AGGAUGAACGCUGGCGGUCUGCUUAACACAUGCAAGUCGAACGGAGUACCUCGGUACUUAGUGGCGGACGGGUGAGUAACGCGUGAGAAUCUGCCCUUAGGUCGGGGACAACCAUUGGAAACGAUGGCUAAUACCGGAUAAGCCGAGAGGUAAAAGAUUAAUUGCCUAGGGAAGAGCUCGCGUCUGAUUAGCUAGUUGGUGAGGUAAAGGCUCACCAAGGCAUCGAUCAGUAGCUGGUCUGAGAGGAUGAUCAGCCACACUGGGAUUGAGAACGGCCCAGACUCCUACGGGGGGCAGCAGUGAGGAAUUUCGUCAAUGGGGGCAACCCUGAACGAGCAACGCCGCGUGCAGGAAGAAGGUUUUCGGAUCGUAAACUGCUUUUCUCGGGGAAGAGAACGGACGGUACCCGAGGAAUCAGCCCCGGCUAACUACGUGCCAGCAGCCGC
rnacentral:rRNA from 1 species